UACGGGGGGGGCAAGCGUUGUUCGGAAUUACUGGGCGUAAAGGGCUCGUAGGUGGCCAACUAAGUCAGACGUGAAAUCCCUCAGCUUAACUGGGGAACUGCGUCUGAUACUGGAUGGCUUGAGUUUGGGAGAGGGAUGCGGAACUCCAGGUGUAGCGGUGAAAUUCGUAGAUAUUCGGAAGAACACCAGUGGCGAAGGCGACUUACUGGACACAUAUUGACGCUGAGGUGCGAAAGCGUGGGGAGCAAACAGG
rnacentral:rRNA from 1 species